AUUGAACGCUGGCGGCAGGCCUAACACAUGCAAGUCGAACGGUAACAGGAAGAAGCUUGCUUCUUUGCUGACGAGUGGCGGACGGGUGAGUAAUGUCUGGGAAACUGCCUGAUGGAGGGGGUUAUCUACUGGAAACGGUCCCUAAUACCGCAUAAUUUCGCAAGACCAAAGAGGGGGACCUUCGGUCCCCUUGCCAUCGGGUGUGCGCAGAUGGGAUUAGCUAGUAGGUGGGGUAACGGCUCACUUAGGCGACGCACCCUAGCUGGUCUGAGAGGAUGACCAGCCACACUGGAACUGAGAAAGGCUCCAGACUCCUACGGGAGGCCGCAGUGGAGAAUAUUGCGCAAUGGGGGAGAGCCUGAUGCAGCGAUGCCGCGUGUAUGAAGAAGGCCUUCGGGUUGUAAAGUACUGUCGGCGGGGGGGAAGGAAAUAAAGUUAAUACCUGAGCUCAUUGACGUUACCCGCAGAAGAAGCACCGGCUAACUCCGUG
rnacentral:rRNA from 1 species